GGGCAAGUGGUGGUCUGGUUGGGUUUUUUUCUCACUGGCGCUGUCAACCCCAAAAUAAAAGACCCAGAAAAGAGUAAAAAGAAUGAGACACAGAGAGAGAGAUAGAAAGGGGCAUUUUUUUAUUUAUUUAAAAUUAGGAAAAUAGGGGGAAAAAAAAAGGGACGUAACGUAUCACUGACAACUGAGGGGGGGGUUCUGAGCAGGAUCAGAAGGUCGCGUCUCAAUCAGACUCGUCUCCUUGUGCCGUGAAACCCGGACUACAGUCCCCCCCACCACACCUCGUCUGGGGCCCACCCCAUCCUAAUGAUGGCUUUUUCUCUGUUUUCUCCUUUUUAAUCCCCUGCUGCGCCUGCUUCCCUGCCCUGCUCUCCUACUCUAUCAUCUACACUGUUGACCCUAGGAUCGUAGGAGGUCUUUGUUUAGCAGAGCGAUGGACGAUGGGGCGCUGAAUAAGACGGUGCGAGCAUACCUAGAGGAACCCAAGCAACCCCUGUCUCUUCUGUGAGCAUCCUGACGUAAUGGAAUUGGAAUUCAGUCAUUCUCAUCUUUUCCCCCUUCUUCAACCGACGGUCAGAUUUCACAGCAUGCAUGGGGGUUCCAUGCUCAUAAUUGUACCCUUCUUAUCAUACAAAAUAACAACAAAUAAUGAAAAAUUAUUGUGUGUGACAUUACUAAAUUCAUGCAUUAUAAUUUGACCGAUUACAACUUUAAGCUUGAUUUUGUUGGAAGGUUGCGAAAGGUCUUGUCUUGUUUAAUGGUCGG
rnacentral:lncRNA from 1 species